UACGUAGGGGGCAAGCGUUGUCCGGAUUUAUUGGGCGUAAAGCGCUUGUAGGCGGCCUGGCAGGUUUGCUGUGAAAAUUCGAGGCUCAACCUCGAGAUGUCGGCGGAAACCAUCUGGCUAGAGUCCGGAAGAGGAGAGUGGAAUUCCCGGUGUAGCGGUGAAAUGCGCAGAUAUCGGGAAGAACACCCGUGGCGAAGGCGGCUCUCUGGGACGGUACUGACGCUGAGACGCGAAAGCGUGGGGAGCGAACAGG
rnacentral:rRNA from 1 species